UCAGGUGGAGGACGGCCUAGAGUCUGGAGCUGCAGAAGAGGCAGGGCGGAGAGGAGGGGAAAGAAGCAUCUGAACGGCUAAAUUGUGCCAGCAGCGCUGAGAGCGAGAGUCGCGAGACCGUGCUGAGGACGUGGUUGUCUGUCCUUCCCCCGGGGAUGCCGUUGACUGCGGCCGUCUCAGGCUUGCGUGGCUUCUCUCUGCCCGGCGUUGCCAUCCUCGCAGCGCGGGGGCGAAAAGGGACACACAGAGCCCUUCCCGGCUGUGGACAGGAGCUGCCUCGGCUGAAGCUGGAGACGCCAACGAAAGGUGGAGGACGGCCUAGAGUCUGGAGCUGCAGAAGAGGCAGGGCGGAGAGGAGGGGAAAGAAGCAUCUGAACGGCUAAAUUGUGCCAGCAGCGCUGAGAGCGAGA